rnacentral:rRNA from 1 species
GACGAACGCUGGCGGCGUGCUUAACACAUGCAAGUCGAACGGAAAGGCCUGCUUUCCCUUGUGGAUUGCGGGUACUCGAGUGGCUAACGGGUGAGUAACACGUGAGUGAUCUGCCCCCAACUUGGUUAUAAGCCCGGGAAACUGGGUCUAAUUCCCGAUAGGACUGCAGGGUGGUGCCUGUGGUGGAAAACUAUUUGCUAGUGGUUGGGGAUGAGCUCGCGGCCUAUCAGGUUGUUGGUGUGGCAAUGGCCUACGAAGGCGGCGACGGGUAGCCGGCCUGGGAUCGUGGACGGCCACAUUGAGACUGGGAUACGGCCCCGACUCCUACGGGCAGCAGCAGUGGGGAAGCUUGCACAAUGGGCGGAAGCCUGAUGCAGCGACGCAGCGUGGGGGAUGACGGCCUUCGGGUUGUCAGCUCCUUUCGACCGCGAGGAAGCCACCUGGUUGGAAGGGUGGUGACGGUAGUGGUAGAAGAAGCACCGGCUAACUACGUG